rnacentral:rRNA from 1 species
AUUGAACGCUGGCGGCAUGCCUAACACAUGCAAGUCGAACGAGUGGCGGACGGGUGAGUAAUGUCUGGGAAACUGCCUGAUGGAGGGGGAUAACUACUGGAAACGGUAGCUAAUCCCGCAUACCAUCGGAUGUGCCCCGAUGGGAUUAGCUAGUCGGUGGGGUAACGGCUCACCUAGGCGACGAUCCCUAGCUGGUAUGAGAGGAUGACCAGCCACACUGGAAUGGAGACACGGGCCAGACUCCUACGGGAGGCAGCAGUGGGGAAUAUUGCACAAGGGGCGCAAGCCUGAUGCAGCCAUGCCGCGUGUAUGAAGAAGGCCUUCGGGUUGUAAAGUACUUUCAGCGGGGAGGCGUUACCCGCAGAAGAAGCACCGGCUAACUACGUGCCAGCAGCCGCGGUAAUUC